rnacentral:tRNA from 1 species
GGUUCCGUGGUGUAGGGGUUAACAUGCCUGCCUGUCACGCAGGAGAUCGCGGGUUCGAAUCCCUCGGAACCG